GACGAACGCUGGCGGCGUGCUUAACACAUGCAAGUCGAACGGAAAGGCCCUGCUUUUGUGGGGUGCUCGAGUGGCGAACGGGUGAGUAACACGUGAGUAACCUGCCCUUGACUUUGGGAUAACUUCAGGAAACUGGGGCUAAUACCGGAUAGGAGCUCCUGCUGCAUGGUGGGGGUUGGAAAGUUUCGGCGGUUGGGGAUGGACUCGCGGCUUAUCAGCUUGUUGGUGGGGUAGUGGCUUACCAAGGCUUUGACGGGUAGCCGGCCUGAGAGGGUGACCGGCCACAUUGGGACUGAGAUACGGCCCAGACUCCUACGGGAGGCAGCAGUGGGGAAUAUUGCACAAUGGGCGGAAGCCUGAUGCAGCAACGCCGCGUGCGGGAUGACGGCCUUCGGGUUGUAAACCGCUUUCGCCUGUGACGAAGCGUGAGUGACGGUAAUGGGUAAAGAAGCACCGGCUAACUACGUGCCAGCAGCCGCGGUGAUACGUAGGGUGCGAGCGUUGUCCGGAUUUAUUGGGCGUAAAGGGCUCGUAGGUGGUUGAUCGCGUCGGAAGUGUAAUCUUGGGGCUUAACCCUGAGCGUGCUUUCGAUACGGGUUGACUUGAGGAAGGUAGGGGAGAAUGGAAUUCCUGGUGGAGCGGUGGAAUGCGCAGAUAUCAGGAGGAACACCAGUGGCGAAGGCGGUUCUCUGGGCCUUUCCUGACGCUGAGGAGCGAAAGCGUGGGGAGCGAACAGGCUUAGAUACCCUGGUAGUCCACGCUGUAAACGGUGGGUACUAGGUGUGGGGUCCAUUCCACGGGUUCCGUGCCGUAGCUAACGCUUUAAGUACCCCGCCUGGGGAGUACGGCCGCAAGGCUAAAACUCAAAGGAAUUGACGGGGCCCCGCACAAGCGGCGGAGCAUGCGGAUUAAUUCGAUGCAACGCGUAGAACCUUACCUGGGUUUGACAUGGAUCGGGAGUGCUCAGAGAUGGGUGUGCCUCUUUUGGGGUCGGUUCACAGGUGGUGCAUGGCUGUCGUCAGCUCGUGUCGUGAGAUGUUGGGUUAAGUCCCGCAACGAGCGCAACCCUUGUUCACUGUUGCCAGCACGUUAUGGUGGGGACUCAGUGGAGACCGCCGGGGUCAACUCGGAGGAAGGUGGGGAUGACGUCAAGUCAUCAUGCCCCUUAUGUCCAGGGCUUCACGCAUGCUACAAUGGCUGGUACAGAGAGUGGCGAGCCUGUGAGGGUGAGCGAAUCUCGGAAAGCCGGUCUCAGUUCGGAUUGGGGUCUGCAACCCGACCUCAUGAAGUCGGAGUCGCUAGUAAUCGCAGAUCAGCAACGCUGCGGUGAAUACGGUCCCGGG
rnacentral:rRNA from 1 species